GACCAGUUUCACUGAGGAAGCACUGA
rnacentral:piRNA from 1 species